UACGGGGGGAGCAAGCGUUGUUCGGAUUUACUGGCGUAAAGGGCGCGUAGGCGGUCAGCACAAGUCAGUUGUGAAAUCUCCGGGCUUAACUCGGAAAGGUCAACUGAUACUGUGCGACUAGAGUGCAGAAGGGGCAACUGGAAUUCUCGGUGUAGCGGUGAAAUGCGUAGAUAUCGAGAGGAACACCUGCGGCGAAGGCGGGUUGCUGGGCUGACACUGACGCUGAUGCGCGAAAGCCAGGGAGCGAAGCGGG
rnacentral:rRNA from 1 species